AACGCUAGGGGAGCACAUCGCUGAGAUUGAAGUGCUGCAUGCACACACUUCUAACCCUCACUACUUGAACCGGAUAAUACCGGCGUAAGGAAGC
rnacentral:ncRNA from 1 species